AGUUUUGUGUAUCUGUGCAGAGAUUUCGUCAUUCAUCGGACGAUAAGGGCUGAUGAGACUUGUGAGAUAAGUGGGACG
rfam:Schistosoma margrebowiei strain Zambia genome assembly, scaffold: SMRZ_contig0000079